GCAGAUAGAAGACUAAAGAAGCACAGAUAAUAGUACCGAUCGUUCAAUCAAGAUCUAUUGAAACCAUUAAACUGAAGAUAAACAAGACAAUAAACCUCCAAGGCAAAUGGAUUCACGGAUGUUGCAUGCUGCCGGAUGGUAGUUUGGUGUUUACUUACAACCGUGAAGGUUAGUUAAGAGUUUUCAACGAUCAAGGAUCAAAAGAAUUUGAGAUGAAGAUACCAUGUGGAGCGUUUGAUUUGGUAUACAUCAGCAAUGACAAUACAUUGGUUGUAACAUCCGGUGAAUCAUGCAAGCAAUGUCUUUCCAUUGCAUUGUAGAUUUGCAGAAGAAAAAAAUUAAGAAAACAAUUUCACUGAGUUCGGAUAGCUAUGGCAUGGUAUUAAAGGACAAUCAAUUGAUUUAUUCCGCCUUCAACAAAGGUCUACGAAUGAUAAAUCUAGACGACGAGUCUUUGACCGACAUUGUCCAGAAGCAAUUCCACCGGAAGGUUACACUGCGAUAUUUAAAGACAACAUUUAUCAUACAAACAGAAUAAAUCACACUGUUACAUGCUAUAAUCUGCAAGGUGAAAAGCAAUGGACAUUUCAAAAUGAAAGCGUUCUGAAAGAUCCUCUUGGUAUUGAUGUAGAUAAUGAUGGUAAUUUGUAUGUGGCAGGGAUUCAUUCGAACAAUGUUGUUAUUAUCUCCAAUGAUGGACAAAUGUAUCGAGAGCUUUAGGCAGCAGGUGUUGAUUUUCGAUAUCCCAUCGCACUCCGUUAUUAUGGACAUAAGAAACAAUUGCUAGUGGCAAAUAUU
rnacentral:lncRNA from 1 species